AUGGCUCAGGAUGAACGCUAGCUACAGGCUUAACACAUGCAAGUCGAGGGGCAGCAUUGGGAUAGCUGCUAUUCAGAUGGCGACCGGCGCACGGGUGAGUAACGCGUAUCCAACCUUCCUGCCAGUAGGGAACAGCCCGGCGAAAGUCGGAUUAAUGCCCUAUGUUCUUCAAUGCGGACAUCUAAGUUGAAGGAAAGAUUCAUCGCUGGCAGAUGGGGAUGCGUCCGAUUAGCUUGCCGGCGGGUAACGGCCCACCGGGGCGACGAUCGGUAGGGGUUCUGAGAGGAAGGUCCCCCACACUGGUACUGAGACACGGACCAGACUCCUACGGGAGGCAGCAGUGAGGAAUAUUGGUCAAUGGGCGUAAGCCUGAACCAGCCAAGUAGCGUGCAGGAAUGACGGCCCUACGGGUUGUAAACUGCUUUUAUGCGGGGAUAAAGUGCGGCACGUGUGCCGCUUUGCAGGUACCGCAUGAAUAAGGACCGGCUAAUUCCGUGCCAGCAGCCGC
rnacentral:rRNA from 1 species